UACGGAGGGAGCUAGCGUUGUCCGGAUUUACUGGGCGUAAAGAGCGCGCAGGCGGUCGGAUAAGUCGAAUGUGAAAGCCCCCGGCUUAACUGGGGAGGGUCAUUCGAUACUGUUCGACUGGAAGGCAGGAGAGGGAAGCGGAAUUCCCGGUGUAGUGGUGAAAUGCGUAGAUAUCGGGAGGAACACCAGUGGCGAAGGCGGCUUCCUGGCCUGUUCUUGACGCUGAGGCGCGAAAGCUAGGGGAGCAAACGGG
rnacentral:rRNA from 1 species